GACGAACGCUGGCGGCGUGCUUAACACAUGCAAGUCGAGCGGAAAGGCCCUUCGGGGUACUCGAGUGGCGAACGGGUGAGUAACACGUGGGUGAUCUGCCCUGCACUUUGGGAUAAGCCUGGGACACUGGGUCUCAUACCCAAUAGGACCACACGCUUCAUGGUGUGUUGUUGAAAGCUUUUGCGGUGUGGGAUGGGCCCGCGGCCUAUCAGCUUGUUGGUGGGGUAAUGGCAUACGAAGGCGACGACGGGUAGCCGGCCUGAGAGGGUGAGCGGCCACACUGGGACUGAGAUACGGACCAGACUCCUACGGGAGGCAGCAGUGGGGAAUCUUGCACAAUGGGCGCAAGCCUGAUGCAGCGACGCCGCGUGAGGGAUGACGGCCUUCGGGUUGUAAACCUAUUUCAAUAGGGACGAAGCGCAAGUGACGGUACCUAUAGAAGAAGCACCGGCCAACUACGUG
rnacentral:rRNA from 1 species